rnacentral:rRNA from 1 species
UACAGAGACUGCAAGCGUUAUUCGGAUUCACUGGGCGUAAGGGUGCGCUGGCGGCCAAGUGUGUGAGGCGUGAAAGCCCGGGGCUUAACCCCGGAAUUGCACCUCAAACUACAUGGCUAGAGCAUUGGAGAGGGUAGCAGAAUUCAUGGUGUAGCAGUGAAAUGCGUAGACAUCAUGAGGAAUACCAGAGGCGAAGGCGGCUACCUGGACAAUUGCUGACGCUCAGGCACGAAAGCGUGGGGAGCAAAAGGG